ACUCACUUGGGUCGAGAAAAAUGUAGCCAUUGUAUGCUCAGACUCUCAUUUGAGAGGAGCCUUUGCUAUGUUAUUUAACAAAAUGAAGCCAGGCCUUUUUGUACAGAUGGUAGGGGGAGUCAGGAUGAGGGCUCUAUAUUCCUCUGUGACACCAAGCGCAGUAAAAUUCAAUGGGAAAAUUAGUGUAAAAAGUGAUGAGCUGAAAAAAAUUUAGUGCCUUGUAAAUGAACUGUACAUAAAAUGUGGAUCAACUCCC
rnacentral:lncRNA from 1 species